GCCUGGAUAAUUUUUUUUUUUUUUUUUUUAGUAGAGACAGGGUUUCACCGUGUUAGCCAGGAUGGUCUUGAUCUCCUGACUUUGUGAUCUGCCUGCCUUGGCCUCCCAAAGUGCUGGGAUGACAGGCGUGAGCCACCGCACCCGGCCCAAAUGUCUUCCCUUUCUUAACCAUCCCAUCACUCCCUCUCUUCAUCAACAGCAGUAUGUCCAAAUUAUUCCCAUGACAGCUCUUACCCAUUUUACUGUAAUUUUUCAUUUGCAGUUCUGUGUAUGUCCUCAAAGGCCAAGCAGCUAGUCUAUGAGGUGCUCCAGAAGCAUUCAGGACCGCUAACAUUGAUUCAGAGAUGACCAUCUGCCAGGCACAGUGCUGACUGCCUUUGUAUGGAUCAUCUCAUUUAAUCCUCUCAACAACCUUAUUUGACAAGUAUCCCCAUCUUACAAAAGAGAAAACUGAAGCUCAGAGAGUUUAAGUAAUGUGUCCAGAGAGACAUGGUCGCAGAGUGAGGAGCUAGGGUUCAAAUCCUGGAAGGAGAGACAGCUAUGGUCACUCUGCUCUACCCUCAAUUUUCUGAGAUAGGAAUUGGGAGGAAGGGUUGGCAGAAAUCUACAUUUUUAAAAAAGCAGUAAGCUGUGGAUUAUGGUCUAAGGAAUAACACAGUCCUGCUGGACUCACCUUACACACCCUUGGGCCUGCUCUGGGGAAGUGGGGGGUGGGGGACUGGGAGGCACAAGGGCACCUUUCCUGCUGCAGGUGACUCAUCGUGACCCUGGCUUAGUGACAGCCUGGCACCGUGAGCCAGCAGAAGCAGCCGUCCCAGUGUGAAUUCUGGCUGGUCUGUGAGCUCUGGACCUUACCCAGAGACUGCCUGUUCCAAAGCAGUCCCUCUGAGAUCCCUCCCUAGGGCAUACGGAAAUUACAAGAAAAAUAAUUUUUUUUUUUUGAGACGGAGUUUCAUUCCUGUUGCCCAGGCUGCCGUGCAAUGGCACGAUCUCAGCUCACCGCAACCUCCAUCUCCCGGGUUCAAGUGAUUCUCCUGCCCCAGCCUCCCGAGUAGCUGGAAUUACAGGCAUGUAUCACCAUGCCUGGAUAAUUUUUUGUAUUUUUAGUAGAGACAGGGUUUCUCCAUGUUGGUCAGGCUGAUCUCAAACUCCCGACCUCAGGUGAUCCGCCUCCCUCGGCCUCUCAAGGUGCUGGGAUUACAGGUGUGAGCCACCGCACCCGGCCAAAAAAGAAUUUUUUAAAGAAGAAUAGACCAUCCUGGCUAACAUGGUGAAACCCCGUCUCUACUAAAAACACAAAAAAUUAGCCAGGCGUGGUGGCGGGCGCGUGCAAUCCCAGCUACUUAAGAGGCUGAGGCAGGAGAAUUGCUGGAACCCGGGAGGCAGAGGUUGCAGUGAGCCGAGAUCGAGCCACUGCACUCCAGCCUGGGUGAGAAGAGUGAAACUCCAUCUCUAAAUAAAGAAAUAAAAGAGAACUCUGGGGCACCAUGUGAGGGGAACUCCAAGGAGAGUCUUGGGUAGAGACGGAGCGAGGAGCACAGGCAGGAUGCUGCGCCUUCCAGGAAAGCCCUGGCACUGACCCCAGCUCGGCAACCCAGAUGAGAGCUAAUUUUGGGGAAAUGACUUCGCCUCUUGGAGUCUCAGUGAGAAAACACCAAGAACCCCUCAAGGAGCAGCUGCAGGUGAAGCGACGACAUGCACAGCAUGCAUCAGACCGCGCUGGACAGAGGCGCUUGUUCCUGUUUCUACCUCUCCCCACUUCAGAGGAUUCCUUC
rnacentral:lncRNA from 1 species